rnacentral:rRNA from 1 species
GACGAACGCUGGCGGCGUGCUUAACACAUGCAAGUCGAACGGAAAGGCCCCUUUGGGGGUACUCGAGUGGCGAACGGGUGAGUAACACGUGAGUAACCUGCCCUUGCCUUCGGGAUAACUUCAGGAAACUGGGGCUAAUACCGGAUAGGAAUCCUUGCUGCAUGGUGGGGGUUGGAAAGCUUCGGCGGGUUUGGAUGGACUCGCGGCUUAUCGGCUUGUUGGUGUGGUAGUGGCUUACCAAGGCGUUUACGGGUAGCCGGCCUGGGGGGGCGACCGGCCACAUUGGGACUGAGAUACGGCCCAGACUCCUACGGGAGGCAGCAGUGGGGAAUAUUGAACAAUGGGCGGAAGCCUGAUGCAGCAACGCCGCGUGCGGGAUGACGGCCUUCGGGUUGUAAACCGCUUUCAGCAGGGGCGAAGCUUGUGGUGACGGUACCUGCAGAAGAAGCACCGGCUAACUACGUG